GAUAAACGCUAGCGGCAGGCUUAACACAUGCAAGUCGAGGGGCAGCAUAGAUUGUAGCAAUACAAUUGGUGGCGACCGGCGCACGGGUGCGUAACGCGUAUGCAACCUACCCGUCACAGGGGGAUAAUCCGGAGAAAUCUGGUCUAAUACCCCAUAACAUAUGGAUCGGCAUCGGUUCAUGUUGAAAUUUUCGGAGGUUACGGAUGGGCAUGCGUAGCAUUAGCUUGUUGGUGAGGUAACGGCUCACCAGGGCGACGAUGCUUAGGGGGACUGAGAGGUUGUCCCCCCACACUGGUACUGAGACACGGACCAGACUCCUACGGGAGGCAGCAGUGAGGAAUAUUGGUCAAUGGGCGCAAGCCUGAACCAGCCAUGCCGCGUGCAGGAUGACGGCUCUAUGAGUUGUAAACUGCUUUUGUACGAGGGUAAAGUGGGUUACGUGUAACCUUUUGAAAGUAUCGUACGAAUAAGGAUCGGCUAACUCCGUGCCAGCCGCCGCCGUAA
rnacentral:rRNA from 1 species